rnacentral:misc_RNA from 1 species
GAUGAAGAACGUAGCGAAAUGCGAUAAGUAGUGUGAAUUGCAGAAUUCAGUGAAUCAUCGAAUCUUUGAACGCACAUUGCGCCCCUUGGUAUUCCAUGGGGCAUGCCUGUUCGAGCGUCAUUUGUACCUUCAAGCUCUGCUUGGUGUUGGGUGUUUGUCUCGCCUCUGCGUGUAGACUCGCCUCAAAACAAUUGGCAGCCGGCGUAUUGAUUUCGGAGCGCAGUACAUCUCGCGCUCUGCACUCAUAACGACGACGUCCAAAAGUACAUUUUUACACUCUUGACCUCGGAUCAGGUAGGGAUACCCGCUGAACUUAAGCAUAUCAAUAAGCGGAGGA